UUAUCGUCGACCCUCCCCCCCCUUCUCACCGUCGCGCGCAGUACCGGUAACGUUAUUGAUAACGUUUCGUACGGGCGCGUCUCCGCGAUUUGUUUCUCGAUACCUAUUCUCGAAUCGCAGGACGGGCGAUCGUUGUUUUUCAAACGGCGCGCUGCGUUAUACUAUUAUAAUAUUCCCGUAACCACACCCCACCCAUUUCGCAAUACACGUUCCUUCCGUUCGAUUUGUUUCAGGCUGUUGUUCCCUUAUUGGAAAAUAUCGAAAACGAAUAGCCGCAAUACACGAUAAACCCGUCGGCUGAGUGGUUUUUUUUCUGGACCUUUGAAUUCGACCAAUAAUCGAUUCGAAAUUCAAAUCUAAAACCCAUACGGUACUUUACAAAUCGCCAAUUACUUAAUUCGGUAAUUCUAUAACGUUGUAUCCACUGUACAAUACAAGAUAAUAUUACUGAUUGUACACCUACUAUGAUAUACGUGCUUCCUUCCUAGUCGUUAAUAACGAAUUGUUACGAACGUAAACGCGUAUUGAAAACGAUUUUCGUUUUGUAUUAUUAGAUUUUAAAAAAAAAAAAACAAAAAAAACUUUUUGCCGUCGGUACAAUUUUUUAUAGUCGUCGUCGUCGUCGGACACGUUCGCCUGGCUCAUUUUGGAUACCUAUUAAAAGAUGAGCACAGUAUUUGAGGAGAAUAUAUGUGUGUACAUAUUAUUUUAAAGACGAUCCCGGCGGAAUGUUAACUGCUUCAAAAAUAAAACGGCAAGCGCAACGCGCAUUUAACUUAACGUACGUGUAACUAAAACGUGUUCCACCGAAUCGUUUAGUAAAAUGUAUAUAUAUAUAAACCAUCGCACACUAAAAAGAAAUAAACGCAUUCGUUCGUGAACGUUAACAGUUGCACUGUUCGAAAGUUUUUCUAUUUUUUUUUUUUUUUUUUUCGCCGCUAUGCAUAUUAUCAGUAUUGUAUUCCGAUGCCACCAAUGUAAUUGACGGAUAUGCCCGAACGUGUUUCACGAUUAUAUUAUUGUUGUUAUUGUACUAUGCUACUGCAGUAAAGUGAAAUAAUGAUUUUUAAUAAUAUUCCGGCGAGUCGGUGUAUCGCAUGUCAACUUGUUAUAAUAAUUGUAUCGACCAAGCUAUACACACGUAUAUAUAUAGCUGCAGUAGGUCUGUGUCACACCCUCGUCUGGGCGUGGCUUUAACGUCUGAUGAACCUUCUUUUUUUUUUUUUUUCCCCCCUGUACCCGAUUUACUUGUACUGUUCGCCUAACUCGCAUAUGUUUUAUUCGAGUAAAAAAUAUGGAAUAAUAUUCUAUCAAACGUACGUCGUGUCACACUUGGGUACAUACUUAGAACUUUCUUUUCGGUAAUUAAAACAGAGAUUUUCAAAUUAUAAACACUUCUCGUUUCAUUCGACGAUGUCGCACUUUCGUAUAAUAAAACCGUAUGUUUCCUUUUCUUUUUUUUAUGAUUUGAUGGGGAAAAUAUAUAGUCAAUAAUAUUAUAAGUGAUUUGACGUUUAGGGCCUCUAUAUCAACAUUUGUUUUCUCUGUCUGUCUAGCAUGUAAUAUUUCAACAAAUGCAAUUUGCAUUUCUACGAAUACGACUCUCCGAUUGAGUUUAGGACUUUGCCCCCAUAGAGAAAAUAAAAAUGUUGGUGUAGAUACCCCUCAAUAAAAUUAGUCAUUAUUAAAAUUCAGGAUAAGUAAUAUAAACCUUAAGUUGCUAAUAAUAUUAUACAAUUUUUUUAUUUUCAUUAUUUUUGAUAAAAGAUCCAUUAUUUUUUUGUUAAAUCUGUGUGUGUAUUCUAUUACAGGUCGUCGUAGUUUUUCUGUUUUUGUGUACAAUGUAUAUAAUUUAUCAUGAGACAAUACAAUAAUUACCUUCAAAAUAUUAUUGGGUAAAAUAUAAGUAAUAUAAAUAUCGUCUUAUAAGUAGAACUGUUGCUAAGUAUAAUUUUGUCAGCUUAUAAUGUUUACUGUAUAUUUUACAUAAUACUAUACAUUAUAUAAAUACUAAUAUAUUUACUAAAUUCUAUUUUCAAUGUAUCAGGAAUUUAGGAAAUUGUAUGUAAAUAACGUAUUUGACUAAUAUAACAUUAAAAUCUAACUGUUAACCGCAUAUAGUUGCACGGUAAUUUAGUUUUUAAAAAUGAUAUUCCCUUCCCGUAACAACCAAAUCAAUUAAUAAUAACUAUUUUUUUUUUUUUUUUGCAUAACCCAUAAAUCAACAAAAAAAAAUUUAAUUUUACUCGCCCAUCUGUUUUUUUGUGUAAUUUUCAUAUCUCAACAUGCGUUAUAGAUUGGGCUGCACACUACAAACACACAUUUAGACAGACGCACUUAUCCUUUCAUUAGUAUAGAUUAUAAUAAAUCUGUUAAAUUUUACUUAAUUCCUACGGUAAUAAUAUUAUAAAUUAUUAAUAUAUUUGAACAAAUAUUUAAAUUCAACUAUUUAAGUACCUAUUAUUAGAACUUUGUACCACCUACUUCAUUUUAUACUGAAAAAAAUGAAAAUAAAUAAAAUGUGUGCUGUAUAUUAUUACUUCUAAAAUAAUUGUAAUACCUACAUUAAACGAAUUAAACAAAUAUAAAUGAAAUAUGAAUUGUACAAUUAUCAUGCUAAAAUUGUGUAUUGCACUUAAGGUUCGACUAUUAAUAGGUAUGAAAAUAUUUGUUGUAAGCCUCCCAUAUUAGUUUGAUUUGUGUCUCAUUCGUCGCUACACUGUCGAUUUGUGUUUGUCUGACUUCGAUCUUCUCUAUUUAUAAUGAGAACGAAAUCACAAGAUCCAAAUCACGGUAUAUAAAUUAUAAUGUAUUAUUAUUUAAAUAUUAAAUAACACAGAAUUUUCAAUAAUUCUUGAAUUAAGAAAAGUAUUUAACCAGUAUUUUAAAUACUAUAAAAUUAUUAAAAUACAUUUGCUUAUAAUGGGAGCAACAUAUGUGUACCUAUUGGUUAUAUUAUGUCCUCAAUAUUUUUCAAACAAAUUUCAAAAGUCUUAAACUUCAAUAUUAUUACUAUACUUUGGUAGAUAAACAUGUAAACGUGUUCUUUUUUUUUUAGCUUUAUGAAACGUUUUACAAUAUAUUUUAUUAUGAUCGUAGUUAUCCGAAAACAUUUUUUUCGUCUUACUGCACACAAUAUUUUAAUAAUAUUAUGUGUACGAAGCUGAACGUUAAAAACUAAUAUUCAAAUUAACUUGAACUAAUCUUUUUUUUUUUUUUUUUACUUAAACUUGAAUUACAUCCCGUUUUGUUAAUAUUUCUUUUAAUUUACGCAAUAUUAAAUUUACGAUCUAUACACUGAUUUGAACCGGUACCAUACAACCGAUAUAUACAUAAUAGGUUUAUAUAUAUUUAUUUUUUUCACACAAUAAUGUACUUUGAAUUUAGAACGUAAGAUAAAUAUGUUUAACCAAUGAUCAGCCUAUUUUUAAAAAAAUAAUAUCGAACUCCUGCAAGUUUAUCCAUUUUUACUAUCAAGAUAACAAAAUGCAUAAUAUUUUUACAAUAUUUAAUUGUCGAGUGAACUUUUAACAUAACUCGUUUAAGUCAACACGAUAAUUGCCUUUUAACGUGUUAACUCAUUAUAGUCAGUCAUUGCCUUUUUUUUUUCCCGAUUAAUUUGACUUAAUCGAGUAAUGCUAUAAAAAUAAUGAUUGUUCAUUAACUUGCCCAGCCUCGAUAAUACAUAUAUAGGCAACAACAUUACAUCAAAAGUUGUGU